GAUGAACGCUGGCGGCGUGCCUAAUACAUGCAAGUAGAACGCUGAAGCUUGGUGCUUGCACCGAGCGGAUGAGUUGCGAACGGGUGAGUAACGCGUAGGUAACCUGCCUGGUAGCGGGGGAUAACUAUUGGAAACGAUAGCUAAUACCGCAUAACAGUCGACAUUGCAUGAUGUUGAUUUGAAAGGGGCAAUUGCUCCACUACCAGAUGGACCUGCGUUGUAUUAGCUAGUUGGUGAGGUAACGGCUCACCAAGGCGACGAUACAUAGCCGACCUGAGAGGGUGAUCGGCCACACUGGGACUGAGACACGGCCCAGACUCCUACGGGAGGCAGCAGUAGGGAAUCUUCGGCAAUGGGGGCAACCCUGACCGAGCAACGCCGCGUGAGUGAAGAAGGUUUUCGGAUCGUAAAGCUCUGUUGUAAGAGAAGAACGAGUGUGAGAGUGGAAAGUUCACACUGUGACGGAACUACCAGAAAGG
rnacentral:rRNA from 1 species